CCAUUGCCGGGAAAUCACCGUUGCAUCCCUACCCCUGUCCCCUGACCGGCUGACCCAUGCCAAUUACAAUUCCAUCCCUCCAAAACCACCAAACCACACACGAACCCAGUCCGACCUGCUCGCUCUGCAGUCUGCACACCUGGAAAGUGGUGUUCCCUCGUCUGAAGCCGAGGAAAAAAUCUCGCAUUCGCAAAGCAGACAAAACAGCGUCCCCCUCCCUCUACUAAAAAAAAAAUGGAGGCAUGAGCUCCGCCUCCUCCUCGUCUCUCGCCGAUCUCCCCAAACCCUAGCCCCGACCUGACCGCCGGCGGGCCCGCCGGCCGGAGAAGGAGUCGCUCCCACCCACCCAACUUCUGCGGCGGAAGGGGAGCGGGCGGCGGACGAGAUGCCGUCGCACGGGGAUCUGGACCGGCAGAUCGCGCAGCUGCGCGACUGCAAGUACCUGCCCGAGGCGGAGGUCAAGGCGCUCUGCGAGCAGGCCAAGGCCAUCCUUAUGGAGGAGUGGAACGUGCAGCCCGUGCGCUGUCCUGUCACCGUCUGUGGCGACAUCCACGGCCAGUUCUAUGACCUCAUCGAGCUCUUCCGCAUCGGCGGCGACGCUCCCGACACCAACUACCUCUUCAUGGGCGACUACGUCGAUCGUGGCUACUAUUCAGUCGAAACAGUUUCUCUGUUAGUGGCUUUGAAAGUCCGUUACAGAGAUAGAAUUACAAUACUUAGAGGAAAUCAUGAGAGCAGACAAAUCACUCAAGUAUAUGGCUUCUAUGAUGAAUGCUUAAGAAAAUAUGGAAAUGCAAAUGUCUGGAAGUAUUUUACAGACUUGUUUGAUUUUUUGCCUCUCACAGCUCUUAUAGAAAAUCAGGUCUUCUGUCUUCAUGGUGGCCUCUCUCCGUCAUUGGACACGUUGGAUAAUAUUCGUUCUCUUGAUCGCGUACAGGAGGUCUUCAUCAGAGCAAUGAGUGGGAAUUGCAGAAUCCUGCCAAAUUAGUUCUCAGAUCCAAGACAUGUUCAAUCCUAUUCAGAAGCUUGAUAACAUUGAGAUAAUUGCAAGACAGCCAUACAAAAAUGACAGCGUUGUCAGCGUAGAAAGAUACCCAGUGCUUCUAGUGUUUUUCUCUCAUUCCUCUUUUCUUUUGGGGUGGGGGAUGGGGAGCUUGAGGCUGACAUUUCACCAUUAGUGAAGUGACCAACCAGUAGUCAUUUGCAAUGAGGUUUGCUUGUUAAUUAAUAAUUAUAAUAAUCUGCCAGCACAUGCAUAUUUGUUUGUGAAACAUUUGCAUCUGAUAGUAAACUAUUAUAAGAAGGUACAUUGAAUUUUUUGUUACUACGGUUACAAGGUUUAUGAGAGACCUAUUUCUUUCUGAGGUCAUCAUACUUUGCUAUGUGGAUUGUUAUGCAUGUAACUGUAAAUACUUGGGCUGAUAGUGCUCCUUGCCUUGAAUUUUGAGGUGAUGCUUAUGAACGCUAGGAAAUGGUGCCCAAUGUGCUGGGUCUUGAAUUGAUAGCUUGCUAAUUCUUGUGCUGUAUUAAUUGAAUGCAUUAUACUUCUAAUCUUUUUAAUCCUCAACUCGUAUGCCUAAAAAAUGUGUGCAGGUUCCUCAUGAAGGACCCAUGUGUGAUCUUUUGUGGUCUGACCCAGAUGACCGAUGUGGAUGGGGAAUUUCACCAAGAGGAGCAGGUUACACAUUUGGGCAAGACAUUGCGCAGCAGUUCAACCAUACAAAUGGUCUUUCUCUCAUUUCAAGGGCCCAUCAACUUGUAAUGGAAGGAUUUAAUUGGUGCCAGGAUAAGAAUGUAGUCACAGUCUUCAGUGCGCCUAACUAUUGUUACCGCUGUGGUAACAUGGCUGCUAUUCUUGAAAUCGGGGAAAACAUGGACCAGAACUUCCUUCAAUUCGACCCGGCACCUCGGCAAAUUGAGCCAGACACAACUCGGAAAACCCCAGACUACUUUUUGUAAUUGUGGUGGUGACAUUAACUUACUGGUGUUGAUGCUCCUCUUUUCCGCAGCAUCAGGGUCUGUAGAUCAUCUGUCCUUAGAUAUGGGUUCCAUGAGCCCGACCUGUACGUCUCCCAAUUCUUUUGUUUGGAGAUUUUGUUGCCGCUUAACGAUCUUUAUACAAUAUGUUAAAAAGUUAAAUGCCAUUGGAUUUUUCUUCUUUCUGUUGUACGUCGACUUUGUAUUAUUUGUAGACGGUGAAUGGAAGUCGCAGCAGGAAAGCCAGCCCCUGCUAUGGUUUUGUUUU